GAUGAACGCUGGCGGCGUGCUUAACACAUGCAAGUCGAACGAAGCACUUUAUUUGAUUUCCUUCGGGACUGAUUAUUUUGUGACUGAGUGGCGGACGGGUGAGUAACUCGUGGGUAACCUGCCUUGUACAGGGGGAUAACAGUUGGAAACGGCUGCUAAUACCGCAUAAGCGCACAGCAUCGCAUGAUGCAGUGUGAAAAACUCCGGUGGUAUAAGAUGGACCCGCGUUGGAUUAGCUAGUUGGUGAGGUAACGGCCCACCAAGGCGACGAUCCAUAGCCGGUCUGAGAGGGUGACCGGCCACAUUGGGACUGAGACACGGACCAAACUCCUACGGGAGGCAGCAGUGGGGAAUAUUGGACAAUGGGCGAAAGCCUGAUGCAGCGACGCCGCGUGAGCGAAGAAGGAUUUCGGUAUGUAAAGCUCUAUUAGCAGGGAAGAUAAUGACGGUACCUGGAUAAGAAGCACCGGCUAAAUACGUG
rnacentral:rRNA from 1 species